GGACAGGUGGCAGAGUGGUUGAAUGCAGCGGUCUUGAAAACCGCCGUGGGUGAAAGCCCACCGUGGGUUCGAAUCCCACCCUGUCCG
rnacentral:tRNA from 1 species